ACUUGUUUAUCAAAUUGUUUACUGCUUGUUUUGUCUCUUGAAAAUGUAGACGCUCCGUUUUUAAUUGAACAAUACAAACCGUAUAAUAAAUAUGCAAAUAAAUGUUGGAAAAAGCAUGAUUAAGCGCAAAACAACUUAAGCAUAAAAUUAAAUAAACAAAACCGAAGAAUAAAGGCUUGUAGCUUUUGAAAGCGUCAAGAGAAUAGAAACCAGCACAGUACAACCUCGAAACGGUACUGACAUCUAGCUGAGGAUACGAGUGAAUCCGUACCAAUCGCGGCGCACUUGGCUGGCGAAUGUUUGUCCCUGUCACCGUAGCGGUCGGUUGUUGCCGCAGCGACGAUUUCGAAUCGUGCCGGUAGUGAGAGCCUAGUGAGUUUCGGUUGGAUACCUUGGCUUGAUUUUCUUUAUUGGCUUUUGUAUUUGCGCUUGUGUAGAUAUGUGUGUGUGGUGUUUGUAUGUUUGCUGUUAAUUGGCUGAUGGAGUCACCGGUCGGUCAGAGACGCUGCCCACUGCGAUUACAAAUUUGCGAAGUUCGUAGGUAUGCUUUAAGGGAAAUUGUAUUGGUGCACGAAAAUGAGAUAUGUAUUACGGUAAGCACAAUGUUUUGACUAUCGCGUACUUUUAUUUUUAGUAAAGAACCGUUGUUAAGGGAUAGCCUCACGGAUACAUUUGCACGGCAGAUUACAUAAGACGCGUUGAGGAAAAACCGCGAUUUGUUACUUGUAGUAUAGACGCCCGCUCGAAUUGACGGCGAUUCGUUUUCUUAUAAAUAAUUACCACACAAUAAUUUUCGAUUCCAUUACGUAGUUGUUAUUUGUACUGCUGGACUUUUCGCCACGGGCGUUGGACGGAUUAUAAUGGGCUCGCGGCAAACACACACGGAUGGUAGUGAUUGCUUGCUUGGGGUUGCGACACGAAUAUGGAUGGAUAAAUGGAUCGCAGUGAAAUGUAAUGCAGUGCAGUGUAAAGAAUGCUGCCACAGUACGUCGGCGACAAUUAAUACGACGACGUCGACGACACUGCUGACGCGCACGAACAACGUGCGAGCGCAAGUGGGAGCAUUAUUCAGUGGGAGCUUUUACAUUUCGCACAUAUUAGCCAUGCUUGCUUUCCUCGUUUCUUCUGGAGAGCGUAUAGCAAGAGAGAGUGGGAGACUUACAGUGUUCUAAUGCACUGAAAUGUGGUGCUUAUGUUCAAUAUGUAUGAACUUGUAGAAUUCUUAGAGUUUUUGUAGCUCAAACGGAUGAAGAAUAAAGAGCUUAAGUUUCGUCUAAAACAGAGUCUUUAAUUAGGAGUAUAAUCAUAUAGCAGGCAUUUCUAAAAACUUAUAAAAUCUGGGAUUGGGGAACCCCCAGUAAUACCGAAAGAUACUAUGGUAAGUAUAUUUGAAUAAUGACCGAUAUAAUUUAGUCUGUCACGUGGUUGACAUACAGUCGUAAAAUUAAAAAAAAAAAAAUAUAAAUAUGUUAGAUAUUAAAGAAGUUA